GAUGAACGCUGGCGGCGUGCCUAAUACAUGCAAGUCGAGCGAACAGACGAGGAGCUUGCUCCUCUGACGUUAGCGGCGGACGGGUGAGUAACACGUGGAUAACCUACCUAUAAGACUGGGAUAACUUCGGGAAACCGGAGCUAAUACCGGAUAAUAUAUUGAACCGCAUGGUUCAAUAGUGAAAGACGGUUUUGCUGUCACUUAUAGAUGGAUCCGCGCCGCAUUAGCUAGUUGGUAAGGUAACGGCUUACCAAGGCGACGAUGCGUAGCCGACCUGAGAGGGUGGUCGGCCACACUGGAACUGAGACACGGUCCAGACUCCUACGGGACGCAGCAGUAGGGAAUCUUACGCAAUGGGCGAAAGCUUGACGGAGCAACGCCGCGUGAGUGAUGAAGGUCUUCGGAUCGUAAAACUCUGUUAUUAGGGAAGAACAAAUGUGUAAGUAACUAUGCACGUCUUGACGGUACCUAAUCAGAAAGCCACGGCUAACUACGUG
rnacentral:rRNA from 1 species